GAUGAACGCUAGCUACAGGCUUAACACAUGCAAGUCGAGGGACCGGCGCACGGGUGAGUAACACGUAUCCAACCUGCCCUUUACUCGGGGAUAGCCUUUCGAAAGAAAGAUUAAUACCCGAUAUAAAGGAUGGGGAUGCGUUCCAUUAGGUUGUUUGUGAGGUAACGGCCCACCAAGCCUUCGAUGGAUAGUGGUUCUGCGAGGAAGGUCCCCCACAUUGGAACUGAGCCACGGUCCAAACUCCUACGGGAGGCAGCAGUGAUGAAUAUUGGUCAAUGGGCGUGAGCCUGAACCAGCCAAUGAGCGUGAAGGAUGAAGGGUUAUGGGUCGUAAACUUCUGUUAUAUAAGAAUAUGUAUUAUAUUAAUAAGGAUCGGCUAACUCCGUGCCAGCAGCCGCGGUAAUAC
rnacentral:rRNA from 1 species